rnacentral:SRP_RNA from 1 species
GCCGGGCAUGGUGGCGUGUGCCUGUAGUCCCACCUGCUUGGAAGGCUGAGGCUGGAGGAGAACCCAGGAGUUCUGGGCUGUGGUGCACUGGCCGAUCAGGUGUCUGCACUGAGUUUGGCAUAUGGAUACCUCCCGGGAGCGGGGAACCACUAGGUUGCCUAAGGAGGGGUGAACUGGCCCAGGUCAGAAAUGGAGCAGGUCCAAACUCCCAUGCGGAUCCGUAGUGGGGUCAUGCCUGUGAAGGGCCACUGCAUUCCAGUCUGGGUAACAUAGAGAGACUCUGUCUCUA